UACAGAGGUCCCGAGCGUUGUUCGGAUUCACUGGGCGUAAAGGGUGCGUAGGUGGUGAGGUAAGUCGGAUGUGAAAUCUCCGGGCUCAACCCGGAAAUGGCAUUGGAAACUACCUUGCUGGAGGAUUUGAGGGGGGAUUGGAAUACUUGGUGUAGCAGUGAAAUGCGUAGAUAUCAAGUGGAACACCAGUGGCGAAGGCAGGUCUCUGGGCUGACACUGACGCUCAUGCACGAAAGCGUGGGGAGCAAACAGG
rnacentral:rRNA from 1 species